rnacentral:rRNA from 1 species
UACGAAGGGGGCUAGCGUUGCUCGGAAUCACUGGGCGUAAAGCGCACGUAGGCGGCUUGUUAAGUCAGGGGUGAAAUCCUGGAGCUCAACUCCAGAACUGCCUUUGAUACUGACGAGCUUGAGUCCGGGAGAGGUGAGUGGAACUGCGAGUGUAGAGGUGAAAUUCGUAGAUAUUCGCAAGAACACCAGUGGCGAAGGCGGCUCACUGGCCCGGUACUGACGCUGAGGUGCGAAAGCGUGGGGAGCAAACAGGAUUAGAAACCCCCGUAGUCC